rnacentral:rRNA from 1 species
UGACAGAUUGAGAGCUCUUUCUUGAUUCUAUGGGGGGUGGUGCAUGGCCGUUCUUAGUUGGUGGAGAGAUUUGUCUGGUUAAUUCCGUUAACGAACGAGACCCCCGCCUGCUAAAUAGUGUCGGUAAUGCUUCUGCAUUGCCGUUUCUACUUCUUAGAGGGACUUUCGGUGACUAACCGAAGGAAGUUGGGGGCAAUAACAGGUCUGUGAUGCCCUUAGAUGUUCUGAACCGCACGCGUGUUACACUGAUGCAUUCAACGAGCUAUUAACCUUGGCCGAGAGGCCUGGGAAAUCUUGGAACGUGCAUCGUGAUAGGGAUUGAUUAUUGUAAUUUUUAAUCAUGAACGAGGAAUUCCUAGUAAACGCAGAUCAUCAA